CCUACGGGUGGCAGCAGUGGGGAAUAUUGCGCAAUGGGCGAAAGCCUGACGCAGCGACGCCGCGUGAGGGAUGAAGGUCUUCGGAUCGUAAACCUCUGUCAGCAGGGAAGAACGGUCACUGUGCUAAUCAACAGUGAAUUGACGGUACCUGCAAAGGAAGCACCGGCUAACGCCGUGCCAGCAGCCGCGGUAAUACGGAGGGUGCGAGCGUUAAUCGGAAUUACUGGGCGUAAAGCGAUCGUAGGCGGUAUGUCAAGUCAAGGGUGAAAGCCCCGCGCUCAACGUGGGAACUGCCUUUGAAACUGGCAAGCUGGAGUGUGUGAGAGGAUAGUGGAAUUCCAGGUGUAGGAGGGAAAUGCGUAGAUAUCUGGAGGAACAUCAGUGGCGAAGGCGACUAUCUGGCACAUAACUGACGCUGAGGAGCGAAAGCGUGGGUAGCAAACAGGAUUAGAUACCCCUGUAGUC
rnacentral:rRNA from 1 species